rnacentral:rRNA from 1 species
AGAAUCAACGCUGGCGGCGUGCCUAACACAUGCAAGUCGCACGAGAAAGGGGAGCAAUCCCUGAGUAAAGUGGCGCACGGGUGAGUAACACGUGAAUAAUCUACCUCCGAGUGGGGAAUAACUGAGAGAAAUCUUAGCUAAUACCGCAUAACACUUACGAGUCAAAGCAGCAAUGCGCUUGGAGAGGAGUUCGCGGCCGAUUAGUUAGUUGGCGGGGUAAUCGGCCCACCAAGACGAUGAUCGGUA